CGGGCGCGGGGCUCCCGGUGAGAGGGGAGCGGCGCGGAGCCCCCCCGGGAGGGCGGCCGGGGGUCGCCAUGGCCACGGACCGCAGGUAGGGCCAUGGCGUCCCCCGAGGGCCCCGCGGGGUCCCCGAGGGCGGAGCCGCAGGCGCUGAGCCCGGACGAGCGCGAGCUGCUGGCCAAGCUGGAGGAGCAGAACCGGCUGCUGGAGGCCGACUCCAAGUCGCUGCGCUCGGUGAACGGCUCUGGGGGCGGCAGCGGCUC